ensembl:lncRNA
AAGAUUUGUUUGUUUGUCAACUUGUAGUUAGUUAUUUCUGUUAUAUUUCAACCUAGAUGAUAACGUGGCAAAAUAUACAUCAAUAUGCCGUGCUCGACACAAUCAGAUAAAGAGGCUGUCUUGCUCGGAGAUUGUGCUCAACAAUAUUGGUUUGAAUGGAUUACCGAAUGACUCCAUGAGCAAGUCUUGCGAUGACCUGUCAGCAAAAAUCAGAGUUCGGAUUCAGCAACAGAAUGAAGUAAAUUACAUUCCUGAACCAAGAACCCCAAGUGAACUGAAAGACCAGAGCCCAAGCAGCAGCCCUCCAGAAAAUUUCAGUCCUCCAGUCUACCGCAUCAUGCCCAGUGUCUCUUUGCAAAAGCAGGACUCAGAGGUUCAUUCCACCACCUCGUCUAUAAGAGGUAAACAGUGAAGCUCUCUCUGGUUUUAGUGAUAAAGUUUGACAUUGACUUUUAAUGAUUAGCUGAUAUUUCUAUGAUGAGAUCUAUGACCUUAUGAGAGCUGAUUAUAAACAACAUUUCAACUUAAUAACAUGCAACAUUAAAGUUAUUCUCAAUAUAACAUGAGAAAGUGGAUAUGUAAUUUGUAUUAUUUAUUAUAUUUUAUCUUUUUUAUAUAAUCUGUUUUUAUUUCUUUUUUUAGUGGACACACCCACAAGAACAACCCCAGAGAGAGAAAUCAUCUGUGUUACUUUAAAGAAGGAUCCAAAACUUGGUUUCGGUGAGUGAAAAUGAACAUGCAUCUUUUUUAUAACGUUGAGCUUUUGAAUGCUGAUGUAUCACUUUUGAUGAAAAGGGUUUGUAAUAGUCGGUGAGGACAACACAGGGAAGUUUGAUCUGGGAAUUUUCAUAGCAUCCAUCGUUCCCGACGGGCCAGCUGAUAGGGACGGCAGAAUCAGACCCGGUAAAACCCUGAACAUUUUCCCUCUUUUAUGCCACAAAAAAAAAAGAAAUGAAAAAGAUUUAUUUUCUUUUGUUUGUGUUUAGGUGGUCGGCUGAUCUCUCUGAAUAAGAUCAGUCUAGAAGGGGUGACAUUUAAUAUAGCUGCUGCCAUACUGCAGAGCAGCCCAAAUGAAGUGGAGCUCAUAGUGUCCCAACCCAAACGUAUGUCUUCAUAUUGUACCAGUUAUUUACAUAUGAUCUGUCUUCAUACUUUCACUUUUAAAAAUGAACUGUGCACAUUUUAAUAUUAAAAUACAUUCUCCUAUCCUAGCAGUAAGACAUUACUGUAUAUCUAUAUUUUUGUAAUUAUGGUACAUUUGGUGGUAGGAAUUACACAUUUAAAAUGUUUUCAUUUUUUGUUCCUGAGUAGAGGACCUCCGGGACAGUAAGACGUCACUGGCUACAAGUAAUUUAGGGAUGAUGCUGGAAAGAGGCUUUGGCUCUCAAAGCACCCUGAGUGCAGAGUACAGG